AGUAACACGUGGAUAACCUACCUAUAAGACUGGGAUAACUUCGGGAAACCGGAGCUAAUACCGGAUAAUAUAUUGAACCGCAUGGUUCAAUAGUGAAAGACGGUUUUGCUGUCACUUAUAGAUGGAUCCGCGCCGCAUUAGCUAGUUGGCAAGGUAACGGCUUACCAAGGCAACGAUGCGUAGCCGACCUGAGAGGGUGAUCGGCCACACUGGAACUGAGACACGGUCCAGACUCCUACGGGAGGCAGCAGCA
rnacentral:rRNA from 1 species